CUGAACGCUGGCGGUAGGCCUAACACAUGCAAGUCGAACGGCAGCACAGUAAGAGCUUGCUCUUACGGGUGGCGAGUGGCGGACGGGUGAGGAAUACAUCGGAAUCUACUUUUUCGUGGGGGAUAACGUAGGGAAACUUACGCUAAUACCGCAUACGACCUACGGGUGAAAGCAGGGGAUCUUCGGACCUUGCGCGAUUGAAUGAGCCGAUGUCGGAUUAGCUAGUUGGCGGGGUAAAGGCCCACCAAGGCGACGAUCCGUAGCUGGUCUGAGAGGAUGAUCAGCCACACUGGAACUGAGACACGGUCCAGACUCCUACGGGAGGCAGCAGUGGGGAAUAUUGGACAAUGGGCGCAAGCCUGAUCCAGCCAUACCGCGUGGGUGAAGAAGGCCUUCGGGUUGUAAAGCCCUUUUGUUGGGAAAGAAAAGCAGCAGGUUAAUACCCCGCUGUCCUGACGGUACCCAAAGAAUAAGCACCGGCUAACUUCGUG
rnacentral:rRNA from 1 species